CAGGCCUAACACAUGCAAGUCGAGCGGACAGAUGGGAGCUUGCUCCCUGAUGUUAGCGGCGGACGGGUGAGUAACACGUGGGUAACCUGCCUGUAAGACUGGGAUAACUCCGGGAAACCGGGGCUAAUCCCGGAUAGCUUGAUUGACCCGCAUGGUUCAAUUAUAAAAGGUGGCUUUUAGCUACCACUUUCCAGAUGGCCCCGCGGCGCAUUAGUUAGUUGGUGAGGUACCGGGCUUCCCCAAAGGCAACGAUGCGUAGCCGACCUGAGAGGGUGAUCGGCCCCCCACCUGGGAUUGAGACACGGGCCCAGACUUCUUACGGAAGCCAGCAGUAGGAUUCUUUCCACAAUGGACGAAAGUCUUGUCGAAGCACCGCCGGCGUAAGUAAUAAAGGUUUUCGAUUCGUAAACAUCUUGUUGUUAGGAAAGACC
rnacentral:rRNA from 1 species